rnacentral:piRNA from 1 species
UGACAUUGUCUUAAGUAAGACUUAAACCAA